rnacentral:rRNA from 1 species
AAUCAACGCUGGCGGCGUGCCUAACACAUGCAAGUHGAACGCNAAASGSGAGCAAUCCUGAVUAGAGUGGCAAACGGGUGAGUAACACGUGGGUGACCUGCCUUCGAGUGGGGGAAACCUUCCGAAAGGAGGGCUAAUACCGCAUGACAUACCGUGUUUGGAUACACGGAUAUCAAGCCGGGGHUCGCAAGCACUGGCGCUUGAAGAGGGGCCCGCGUCCGAUUAGCUAGUUGUGAGGUAACGGCUCACCAAGGCUCCGAUCGGUAUCCGGCCUGAGAGGGCGGACGGACACCUGGGACUGAGACACGGUCCAGACUCCUACGGGAGGCAGCAGUGGGGAAUUGUUCGCHAGGGCGAAAGCCUGACGACGCAACGCCGCGUGGAGGAUGAAGAUUUUCGGUUCGUAAACUCUUUCGACCGAGAUGAAUACCCAUGGCCCCAACACGUCCGUGGGCUGACAGUAUCGAGAAAGAAGCCCCGGCUAACUCUGUGCCAGCAGCCGCGGUAAUACAGGGGGGGCAAGCGUUGUCGGAAUUA